rnacentral:lncRNA from 10 species
GCUGUCUGAGCAGGCAGAGGGUGCAAACACAGCCCUGCACCUUAGGGAACCUUUAGUUGGAUGUGAGGACUGUGCUCUCCCUUGCUUCUCCAGGCUGCGGAGGCAUUGUGCUGCCUUCUUGCAAUGCUGUAAUGCUCUUCGGCAGAGGGAUGUGCUGAUGGCUGCCAAUCCGAAGGGUGCUGUACCAUCUGACGAUGCCACCUUCUCAACACGGGAGCUGUUCUCUUUCCUGGCUGUUGCUGCGGCCAGGGAAGAGAGCACAGGAAAUGUGCACCAACUCUGAAACGCUUCUGCCCGGAGGGGACACUCGUGACUUCUGCUCACAUGUCAUUGGCCAGAGGAUGUCACAUGGACAUACCUAACUUCAAGCGGGACAGAGAAGUGUAAUUCUUCCCUGGGAUGGGAAAGGAAAUAUGGGAAUGAUGUGAACCCCACUAAUCUCUAUCCCAUUGUAAUCCCUACAACAAACUUGCCAUGUGGUUAUUAUCCUGAUUUGAUACACGAAGAAACUGAGGAUAAGCAACUCCUCCACACUCACACAGCUGGCAAGAGGGAGAGGUGGGAUUUAACCUUGGGAAAGUCUGACUGCCAAGCUUUUGCUAUUUCCUUGGUGUCGCCCUUUUCAUGUUCACAAAAUGGCUGUAUCAUAAGGCAGAAAAACUGCAGCUUAUCAGUCAAAGAAGGAUGGAUAGCGUGUUGUGUAGUUUUAGAGGAGGAGAGAUCACCUCCUGUUAGAGAAAUCCGGGAAGACUUCACUGAGGUGGUAGCUCUUGCCUCUGGAUCUUGAAGAAUAGGACAGAUUUGGACAUUCAGAGAUGCCAGUUCUUUCAAUCUGUCAGUUAUUCCUUCUGUGUGCAAGGUGGGUGGCUUCUGACGUCUGGAAAACCAUUUGUAAAGUCCAUUUAGUUCACGCUUUUAGUUUAGUCACACUCUUCCCUCACAAGAGAAGUCCUAGCGUGAUGGUGAGAGGGAGGGGAAGUAGUUAUGAACCGGGUUUCACCAAAGGAGCUUUCCUGGAAGAGGCCCUGGGGAGAAAUCUGAUGCAGUGGGUCGAAUAAGAACGGGGUUUUCCUGCAGCUGUAUUGCAGCCUUCAUUCCUUUCUCCCUCCCUUCCUCUCCUCUUUCUUCUCCUUUCCCUUCCAUUCCUGCGUCCCUCUCUCCGUCAUUUCCUUAGUGCCUGCUGUCUGCCUGGGACAAUGCUGAGUGCUGGGGCAGGGGAGGAGGCACACCCAGAUUUUGGCUCCCUGGAACUCUCACACAGUUUAACGAUGGGAGGGAUAAGGUUGCAGGGCCCCAGAGCCCCAGUGUUUGCCUAGAAACUCAAGAAGAAACCUCCAGUGAGAGGCAGAGUGACCCAUUGAGGGGUGUGGGUCACUUGAGGAAAAAAAAAAAAAGAAAAGAAGCCAGCCACACAGAGAACAGAGUCCCCACUGCCCUGUGGUCAGUGAGCACUGCUCCCUAGCUUGGGCCGGACAGCUGGCCCCUCUGGGCUCACUCAGGCCGACUGCACCUGGCCUUGCUCACAGCUGUGCUCCUCUGAGCUGGCCCACACCAGCCAGCAACCAGUUCUUGUCAAUGCAGCUAGAGCAGACUGUGGCUGCCUCCCUGAUUCUCCUCCACCUCUUCUCCCCAACCCAGGGAGAACUUGCAGUCUGGGGACAGAAUCUGUACAUCAGGGAUGGUUUUGACAAACUAAGGAGGGAGAGGAGCUGGAAGACAUCCUUGCACCCAUGCUGAGGCUUGGCUGUACACGUUUCCCUUCCAGGAUUCACAGGCUGCCAGCAAAGGGCUUAAGAUUUCAGCUCUGCGGAAACUAUGAUCAAGUGCCUUUUUGGGGUCCAGGGAUGAAUGCACCCCUAUUUAACUGUGUCUGUGUAUCUUCUACCUUUAGAUCCAUUUUCCUAUUCACAGGACCAGAGUAUUUCAGCGCUAGGAGUGAUCUCACAGGGUUUUUAGGCCAGUGGUUGCUAAACCUGAUUGUCCUCCAGGAAGCCUUUAAAAAUACACAUUCCUAGGCUCUGAGCCCAGAAGUUCUGACUCCGUAGGUCUGGCCCUUGUC